rnacentral:rRNA from 1 species
CCUACGGGUGGCAGCAGUGAGGCAUAUUGGUCAAUGGGCGCGAGCCUGAACCAGCCAAGUAGCGUGAAGGAUUACUUCCCUACGGGUUGUCCACUUCUUUUAUAAAGGAAUAAAGUGAGGCACGUGUGCCUUUUUGUAUGUACUUUAUGCAUAAGGAUCGGCUAACUCCGUGCCAGCAGCCUCGGUAAUACGGAGGAUCCGAGCGUUAUCCGGAUUUAUUGGGUUUAAAGGGAGCGUAGAUGGGUUGUUAAGUCAGUUGUGAACGUUUGCGGCUCAACCGUAAAAUUGCAAUUGAUACUGGCAGCCGUGAGUACAGUUGAGGUAGGAGGAAUUCGUGGUGUAGCGGUGAAAUGCUUAGAUAUCACGAAGAACUCCGAUUGCGAAGGCAGCCUACUAAACUGCCACUGACAUUGAUGCUCGAAAGUGUGGGUAUCAAACAGGAUUAGAUACCCCAGUAGUC